GUUACCCAGUACCAUCAAGGAUCGGAACCACCAUGAGAAUUAGAUGGUGGGCAGGACAGAAAAUACCAAGGAAGGGUUCCUCCUAUUUCCUGCAUCUAACAUGACUCCUCAGCUUAAAAUAUGAGAAAUAUGAGUCACACAACUCUGAUUUAUAUAUUUGGUUGACUUCUCACUGUUAACAUGCAAGGCUGGGAAGGAGCAUAAUGAGAAAAAGCUCAAGAUAACCUUUGUGGGAGUUAAAUCAAGAAAUGGAGAUUCCUUAUCAAUACUGCAGAUCCCAAUAUCGAAAUGCUUAGCACUGAAGUGGAAAUUUUUGUGGAGAGAAUGAACUCUGCUUGAAAGGUGCAUUAUCUGGUGAGACUUUUCACACAUUGUGGUCCAAAGGCAUUCCUACAAAUAUUUCUGCUAAUGACCAAAGAAUUGGUGACAGACAUCUACUGCAUCUCUUGGACAAGUAUAGCAUGGGGCAGCUGCAUUGGAGGCUCACUCUAUGCUACUCAUGCAAGAAUGAAGAAAUUACCCUGGCUAAUGAGUAAGUCACAGUACUUUGGAGAAAGUGGAGUAAGGCUCAGAGGGCAGUUCUGUUUCCAUGCCAACUUAAUGUCUGUUCUUUGUUUUGAG